UACCAAAGGAUAACAGUAUUCCACUGGUCUUAGGCACCAAAAUCCUUGGUGCAA
rnacentral:tRNA from 1 species